UUUUUAAAGCAAAAAUUCAUCUGGAAGAAUGAAGAAGAAACACUCUGGACAGUGUAUCAUCCAGAGUUGUUUUUGAUAUCUUAACAACCCAGUAGAGCUAGUCGAAUAAUUAACUUAUUAAGUUGCCAGCAGUCAUGUUGCUAGUUAGAAUUUACCAGUUUGACAAUUAUGGGUAAGUAUUAAUCAACCUAUCGAACUUAGUUACAACAUAUUAACUGUUAUCCAGGGGUUAAUGAUCACAGUUACCGGCUUUUUGGUUGUUUUUGUUUUUGUUUUUCUGAGUAUUACUCUAUGCCAGGCUGUCCUAAGCACACCCUAUUUCUCAUUUAAUUCUUACAAUCACCUUCCUUACCAGAUGGUUGUUUUUACGCCCAUUUUACAGGUAAGAAAACUAAGGCCCAAAGAAGGUCAGCCACCUGGCCAGCUGUUAAGUGGAGGGGCUGAAGAUCUAAUCCUGGUCUUCAUUCCUCCUGGGACCAAGCUUUUAACUACCCCACGCGGUGACAUGGGUGCUUCUUGUUAUAAUGGGCUUUUGAGACCAGAUGCUCGUCUGUUCAAUCCUAGCCGGAUAUCUCCAAUACCUGUCUCUAACAUCUCUCUUUUUGGUCUCUUGCCUCUCCACAGAACCUGACUUCUCUUUUCUAUCAACAGUGCCCCACCCCCACCCAGGGGGAGAUGCUCUGAGCCAGGAUGUCAGUCACCUUCUGCAUGUAAAACCCCAGGGUGAAAGGAGAGACCUGCAGGAACCAUCUGGAAGGCUUAUCGGGUCUUAUCAGCACCAUCAUCCUCGUCAGCACCACCAUCAUUACCACAAGGACAGCAGAGACAUGAACACUGAAUGGAGCAUUUGCUGUUUCAGGCCCCUUUGGCCUAGGGAAUGGCAAUCAGGCUUUUGGGAAAAAGUUACCGUGGGAUGAACAUGGUUUGCGGUUCUAAAUCCCAAAGUAUCUGAACCCCUGGAGCCCCUGAAUUCUCAAGUUCCAUCAAGGGGCCACGAGUGGUGCAUGUUUGGUGACCAUCACUGGUUUUGCAGAUGAUAAAAUGGUGGCCAUUCAGCUUAUCCUAGUUUUCCUGUGGUGGUCCUCGGCCUUAAUUGGCAGCUGUUCUUCUGACAGUGCCAGCGUUGGGGGAGGGGUGGGCGAGGCUCCCUGCUCUGUGCUCCCACAACAUCCGGGACCUCCCCCAUCUCCACGCUGCCUUGUGGUUGCCUCUCGCUGACGACAAUGCUUAGAAGGCUGUGAGUUGCUCUGUGGAGGCAAAGUCUUACUCACCAUUGUCACCCCUGGAUCUAGCACAACACCUGACAACAUAAGAGGUUGCCCAUUAAAUAUUUGUUCAAUAAAUGAAUGAGUAAUGCC